rnacentral:tRNA from 1 species
GGGGAUAUAGCUUAACGGUAGAGCGCUGCUUUUGCACAGCAGAUGUUAGGAGUUCAAAUCUCCUUUUCUCCA